GCCUCUCUUCCCUCAAACUCUAUAUACUUUGUCAUCUCCCCCACAAUCGAAGCUUGUCAUAAAAAAAAUUCACGGUCUUAGUAUUUGGAAAAACUACGAAAAUAUGGUCUUAAUGCAUCAAUCAAACUAGAUUUUUUUUUUAAAAAGGAAGAAACAAAAACAAAAAAUUGCAAGGAAUAAAAAUGUGAUAAAAAUAAAGAAAAAU
rnacentral:lncRNA from 1 species